GGGCGGUUAGCUCAGAUGGUUAGAGCGCCACGUUGACAUCGUGGAGGCCACAGGUUCGAUUCCUGUAUCGCCCACCA
rnacentral:tRNA from 1 species